ensembl:lncRNA
GGCCCACAUCCAAGUGUGACGUCACAGACCACGCCCAUGUCAAAAUACGUCACAUUCUCAUUCAUUUUGAAACAGGAAGAAGCAUCGAUAAGAAGAUAAUUUGUAUUGUUUGCCAACCGCUAAAAAAGAAGCUGUUGUUUGCCGUGUUGCAUUCUACACAUUUUCAGUCCAAGCCUGAUUCAGAGCAGUUCUCCCAGGUUAAGGGUUCCCUGCUGCAGUUUCACCAGUAAAGAAAAUUACUUGUUACAGUUCACUUGAAGGACCACAUAAGCCAUGCAGUGGUGCAUGGAGGAGCGCCAAGAGGACAUAAAGUGGAAGUUUGUAAGGGACAUUGGUCCAGCGUGGUACAGAGUCAUCGUGGGUUAUUCUGUGGGGAGGUGACAGGGCCUGCCGUUCUCCAGAUGGACAGUAAAAAUCAACAGAAUGCCAUCAGAGACUACCUGGAGGGAGAAUCGGAGGAUGUAUUAAAGCAAGGAAUCUCUCUGUGUAGUCUAUGUAUGUAUGUGUGUGUACUGCAUGUCAAGAACUGUUUAUCUGCUCAUUCAGCUACUCAGACUUUAUAAUAUUUGGAGCAUACCUUUUGUUAAACACAACCAGUCAAAAGUUUUUGAACAGUGACAUUUUUUUAUGUUUUUAAAGAAAUCUCUUCUGCUCAUCAAGCCUGCAUUUAUUUAAUCCGAAGUACAGCAAAA